rnacentral:rRNA from 1 species
UACGUAGGGGGCAAGCGUUGUCCGGAAUCAUUGGGCGUAAAGAGCGUGUAGGCGGUUCGGUAAGUCGGCUGUGAAAGUCCAGGGCUCAACCCUGGGAUGCCGGUCGAUACUGCCGGACUAGAGUUCGGAAGAGGCGAGUGGAAUUCCCGGUGUAGCGGUGAAAUGCGCAGAUAUCGGGAGGAACACCUAUGGCGAAGGCAGCUCGCUGGGACGUUACUGACGCUGAGAAGCGAAAGCAUGGGGAGCGAACAGG